rnacentral:rRNA from 1 species
GUUUCUUUUUAUUGAAAAUGACUUGGGUUGAGCUGUGACCUUGGGUUGAACAAUAUGGAAUAUGACUAAUUUCGAACAACUGAGUACUCUAGGUGGUUACCCGGGCUGGGAGAGGUGUUCCAAGAUAAAAAGAAAGCCUUCUUUCAAUUUUAAUCCAAAUUUUUCACUGCAUUCUUUAAUAAAUUGGUCUGCGGCUUCAGUGUUGUUUUUAAUAUUACUGUCAAAUUCAAAGGAUGUAUUUUCUGAGCCAAAAAAAAUAAAAAACUCCUCUGAGAGAGGGGUCAUGCCAAAAUUUUAUUCAUUACUCCUACUAUUAAACUACUACUACUAUUAAAUCUACUAUUAAAACAACCACUUUUACUAUUUCCUCGACCACUUUUUGUUUUAUUUCUGACUUAAUUCUCUUUCCAUUUAUUUUUCUCAUGAUGGCGCAUAGCUAGGGGUUGCAUUUGGUCCAUUUCUCUUUUCGCCUCGACUCAUAUUGUAUUAGAAAAGUGGUUGUCUGUUGAGUAAAAUUGAAAAAGUGGCUGUGUGCUUGUGAAUUGUAAAAUAAAGUGGUUGUUGCUGAGGAAAUGGAAAAGAAGAAUGUAUAGGAAAAUAAAUAAUUCUCGACGUAGCAGAUCUCAAGUCCUUCCGGGCUCCUUGAUGCCCUUUUAUGUAAAUUCUUAUCAUCCAAUCAACAUGCUUAUGGUACAAUCUGAAGACUCAAAUGUUCUACUUUGAUUUUUAACCGUUUUAAAACGAUUUGUCAUCAUUCUGAAGGGCGUUACGGAUGUUUAAUGGAUAAGCGAGGACAAUGACUGGCCAGCAGAUUCAAAGCUCGCGGAUAUGGGAUUAAACUGGUGACAGCUAGGCACUAAUAUUUUAGCAUGAUGGGGAUUGACAAAAUUCCCGGCUGAAAAUUGCUUAGCGGUUGAAUCUCGAUGAAAGAGAAAAAAAUUUCAUACUAAAUGUAGCCUCUGGGCUGAAUUGGUGAAGUGAAAAGUUGAUAUUUUGUGUUAAGACGAAGCGUCCUCGACGAAGGAUAUAAAAAUUACACAAUUCCAUUGCGGAAUUGGCAAGAUGAGCAAUCGGUCGGUUUGAUGCAUACUUUUGAGUGUCUCGUAAAGCCAGCAAGUGACCCGAGAUUGGUUGUGAGACCAAAUCUGUCUCGCCUCGUGUGUCGUUCUGGCGCCGACGGUGCGAGUGAUGAAGCUUUACGCUUUUCUGGGUAAGAUUUGCUGCCUUCAAGGUUCGAGUGAAUCUUUCCUGAUUGCGAGAUAUCUGGUUGAUCCUGCCUGAACUGAUGUGUUCAUUUCAAAGAUUAAGCCAUGCAUGUAUAAGUUUAAUCGUUUUAACGAGAAACCGCGAACGGCUCAUUACAAUGGCCAUGAUUUACUUGAUCUUGAUUAUCUAAAUGGAUAACUGUGGAAAAGCUAGAGCUAAUACAUGCACCAAAGCUUUGUCCUCUCGGAAAAGCGCAUUUAUUAGAACAAAACCACGCGGCUUCGGCUGCUUCUUGUUGACUCAGAAUAACUAAGCUGACCGCAUGGCCUUGUGCCGGCGGCGUGUCUUUCAAGCGUCCACUUUAUCAACUUGACGGGAGCAUAAUCGACUCCCGUGGUGGUGACGGAUAACGGAGGAUCAGGGUUCGACUCCGGAGAAGGGGCCUGAGAAAUGGCCACUACGUCUAAGGAUGGCAGCAGGCGCGCAAAUUACCCACUCUCGGCUCGAGGAGGUAGUGACGAGAAAUAACGAGAUCGUUCUCUUUGAGGCCGGUCAUCGGAAUGGGUACAAUUUAAACCCUUUAACGAGUAUCAAGCAGAGGGCAAGUCUGGUGCCAGCAGCCGCGGUAAUUCCAGCUCUGCUAAUACAUAGAAUUAUUGCUGCGGUUAAAAAGCUCGUAGUUGGAUUCGUAUCGGUACCCUGGAACCCUCCGGGUGUUUCUGGGUGUUAUCGAUUUAUCGUAAUGUUCGGUUUUGAGUCCUUAACAGGAUUCUUAACAGGCAUUGCAAGUUUACUUUGAACAAAUCAGAGUGCUUCAAACAGGCGUUUUCGCUUGAACUUCGAUUGGCGCUGAACAACCAGUUUAGAACUGGCACGAACUCCGGGAAUCCGACUGUCUAAUUAAAACAGAGGAGACGGAUGGUCCUUGCAGGACGUUGACCGUGUCUGAUUUCUGCCCAGUGCUCUGAAUGUUAAGCCAAGGAAACUUGAUUAAGCGCGGGUAAACGGCGGGAGUAACUAUGACUCUCUUAAGGUAGCCAAAUGCCUCGUCGGCUAACUACCGACGCGCACGAAUGGAUCAACGAGAUUCCCACUGUCCCUAUCUACUAUCUAGCGAAACCACAGCCAAGGGAACGGGCUUGGCAAAUUUAGCGGGGAAAGAAGACCCUGUUGAGCUUGACUCUAGUCUGACUUUGUGAAGAAUCAUGAGAGGUGUAGCAUAAGUGGGAGUCGCAAGACAACAGUGAAAUACCACUACUUUCAUCGAUUCCUUACUUAAUCGGUAAAACGGGAGUUGUGUCUACGGACCUUCAUUUUUGUUUUAAGACUAGCCACUCGGUGGUUGGUUGACUCGCGCCGAUGACAUUGUCAGGCGGGGAGUUUGACUGGGGCGGUACAUCUGUCAAAUUGUAACGCAGGUGUCCUAAGGCGAGCUCAGAGAGGACGGAAACCUCUCGUAGAGCAAAAAGGCAAAUGCUUACUUGAUCUUGAUUUUCAGUACGAAUACAGACCGCGAAAGCGUGGCUUAUCGAUCCUUUUGAGUUUGUAAAGUUUACAGCAAGAGGUGUCAGAAAAGUUACCACAGGGAUAACUGGCUUGUGGCGGCCAAGCGUCCAUAGCGACGUCGCUUUUUGAUCCUUCGAUGUCGGCUCUUCCUAUCAUUGCGAAGCAGAAUUCGCCAAGUGUUGGAUUGUUCACCCACCAAUAGGGAACGUGAGCUGGGUUUAGACCGUCGUGAGACAGGUUAGUUUUACCCUACUAAAUACUUGUUGCUAUGAUGGUCAUCCUGCUUAGUACGAGAGGAACCGCAGGUUCAGACAUUUGGUUCAUGUGCCUGGUCGAUAGGCCAAUGGCGCGAAGCUACCAUCUGAGGGAUUAUGACUGAACGCCUCUAAGUCAGAAUCCCGCCCAGUCAUGAUAGCAAUAUAUAUCGCUCUCCGGUGUCGGAAGGCAAAAUGUAUGCCACUUUUUUUAGUGGUAGUACAAGCCCCAGUAUCUGGCAUUUUCCUUCUACUAUAAUUGGUAGUUGGUUGCUAAAAGCUUAGCACUCCUCGUGCAUGUGUAACGUCGGGGCGCAAAAUCACUUGUAUACGACUUGAAUACUGGUCAGGGGUUGUAUCCAGUAGAGCAGCUCUUCGCUGCGAUCUGUUGAGACUUAGCCCUUGAUCGGAUGAUUUGUCUUUUUU